GUAGGGAAUAUUGGGCAAUGGAUGCAAGUCUGACCCAGCCAUCCCGCGUGCCGGAAGAAGGCCCUCAGGGUUGUAAACGGCUUUUGACGGUGAAGAAUCGACAGGAUGCGUCCUGUUUUGACGGUAGCCGUUGAAUAAGCACCGGCUAACUCCGUGCCAGCAGCCGCGGUAAUACGGAGGGUGCGAGCGUUGUCCGGAUUUAUUGGGUUUAAAGGGUGCGUAGGCUGGAAGGUCAGUCAGCGGUGAAAAGCUGUCGCUUAACGAUAGUCUUGCCGCAGAUACUUCCUUUCUUGGAUGAGGAGGAGGCCACUGGAACGGAUGGUGUAGCGGUGAAAUGCAUAGAUAUCAUCCAGAACACCGAUUGCGAAGGCAGGUGGCUGUACCUUAAUCGACGCUGAUGCACGAAAGCAUGGGGAGCAAACAGGAUUAGAUACACUGGUAGUCC
rnacentral:rRNA from 1 species